rfam:Peptostreptococcus stomatis DSM 17678 contig00032, whole genome shotgun sequence.
UAAAGAAGAAUAGAUUUGCCGUAGACAGUGGGUGCCUAAGCUUAAUUUCCCACCGAGGUUGCGAUAUACGUGAUACUUGCGCCCUUGUUGUCUGCUGAUAACAAGGGCUUUAAUAUUUAUAC